CAGAAAUGGGGGCUGCUUUGAGGACAAAGAAAGCGUUUCGGAUCAUCUUAUCGAUCAGUGAAGCAAUCAUCCUUUGUAUUGAAGGGAGCUCCUAAUUUUU
rfam:Amborella trichopoda AMTR_V1.0_contig_37367, whole genome shotgun sequence.